CUCUUUUCUUUCCUGAAAAAGGUUGAUGCUUAAUCUCAGAACUAGUCACUAGUAGGGGAUACCACCUCUCUCUCUCUAUAACAACGUCUACAUGCUUGUGAGUUGUGAGUUUGUAGCUGGAUUCGACUUGUCUGAUAAAACUCAUGCCACUUCUUUUGCAUAGGUAAGCUACAAUGUAACCAUGAUCGAUUAUAUUCCCAGUUCUUUU
rnacentral:misc_RNA from 1 species